rnacentral:rRNA from 1 species
GACGAACGCUGGCGGCGUGCUUAACACAUGCAAGUGGAGCGACGAACCGGGGCUUGCCCCGGGGCAGAGCCGCGAACGGGUGAGUAACACGUGGGUAACCCACCUCGAUGACCGGGACAACCCGAGGAAACUCGGGCUAAUACCGGAUGUGAUCCGCUUCCAUAAGGAGACGGAUGAAAGAUAGCUUCGGCCUUCGCAUCGAGACGGGCCCGCGGCCCAUUAGCUUGUUGGUGGGGUAAUGGCCUACCAAGGCGUCGAUGGGUAGCUGGUCUGAGAGGACGAUCAGCCACACUGGGACUGAGACACGGCCCAGACUCCUACGGGAGGCAGCAGUGGGGAAUCUUGCGCAAUGCGCGAAAGCGUGACGCAGCAACGCCGCGUGGGGGAAGACGGCCUUCGGGUUGUAAACCCCUUUCAGUUGGGACGAAGCUUCGACGGUUAAUAGCCGGCUGGAGUGACGGUACCUUCAGAAGAAGCCCCGGCUAACUACGUGCCAGCCGCCGCAGUAACAC